rnacentral:piRNA from 1 species
UCCACUAAACCAUCUCCAUGCAUGGGAAGC